UUUUCAGCAAAGCUGCUGUUAGCAAAAACAGCAUCUGUGAGUCAGUGGAUCAGAGAUAAGAAGGCUGCUUCUUCCCCCACUUUUUAAUAAACACUAGUGAAAGUUAUAUUAUGUUUUGUAAAAGAAUAAACACUUGAAAAGAGAAGCCUGUCUGAAGACACAUUCCUUCAUUUAGCACUUUUGCAUUUCAAUAAAAAGUGUGCAUGCAGAAACAUCCCAGGGUUAAAAACACAGCGAACCUAUUUAUGAAAGUAAUUUGUAAUGAUAAAAGAGUUUUCCCCUAUGUGUUAGACUAACAUUGGUCAUUUUUUGGUUAGGACAAUUUGAAGCAGCAUGCUUCUUCAGCAAAGCCCCUGUUAGCAAAAACAGCCUUUGUGAGCCAGUGGAUCAGAGGUAAGAUAAGAUAAGGAGGAGCUUCUAUUUAAACAGGUCUGAUGAUGAAAGAUGGCUGCACCUAGAAGGUCCUGGCCAACACCGGCAGUCCAGCCUCUCAUGAAGAGACGUUAUACGGUCAGUGCUAUGGGACCUGAAGAGUGUUUGAGAUGGGUCAUGGGAGCGGGGAAACAGGGAUAGCUAAUGAUGCCUGUACCCACAAGAACGACACGGUGGAGAAACAUGAGGCCAGACCGCUGGGCCAAGAUUUGUUUGAGACUCCGGACCCUGGCCAGGAGAGCCCAAACGAAUCAAACAAGGCGCUGUACAGACAUGAGGCCCAGCACCUGAGCGAUGGUUCUUCGGAGGACUUGGCAGUUCUGGACACCGACAGCUCCGAAGGGCUGAGUGGAUUGGGCCCAAUCUGUUUUGGCCCAGACCCAAAACCAGAUGCUCAACAGAAUGCCGAAGCAAGGGGGGUGCUUAUUCUAUAGGCCUAUACGAUCUAAAGUUGAGGGAGAAAUUUGGUAUUAAGCCUGUGCAAGUUCAUAACCUAAAACCAUGAUGUGUGCAAUUGUGCGAGCAGCUGUGCACAGAAUCAUCAAGCACUGCCUGAGAGAGAAACAAAAUGAAGAUUGUCCUGGGUGCGCUAUAGAUUCCCCCAGUCAGAAGCAUCACGACUGUAAACUGUAAAAUUAAAGAAAUUAGCAGUAGUUUGUGCCUGGAGAGUGUGUUAAAUAUCACCAUCACGUUGGGAUACGCACUGCAGUGCCUCUAUUUAACCCAGGAACAUUUAGCUCUAGGGGAAGAAUUGGUGUAGAAAGUGACAGAGGCCAAGGACCCAAAUAGCAUUUUAGAUGAAAUCAUCAAACCGACAGAUAAAGACGGAAAAGUCCUCAGAAGUGAUAAACAAAAUCUGGACAGAACUGGUUUUUACCGCCUUUUCCACAAGGUUUCCCAAAAGGGGUUUUCUGCUCCUUCUAUGGGGUUUCUCAGGCCAGAUUAUAUAAGUCUGCCCCGAGCACUGCUCAGCUGCUGCCCAUCCGAGUGACAGUGAGGGUCUGACUUGCACUCACCUCCCCAUCCUAAUGGUAGAGGAGGCUCAGGUUUUCCUUCCACAGCUCUGCUUCUACUUUGUCAUCACCUGCAAGGAGAAGAGACGUACAGACAGCCACAUCCCACUUACCAUCACCCAACUUCAGCUGCUAUUCCCCGAUGGACCAUCUGCUCUUCUACAGACCCAAAGAAACAUCAAGGGACUCCCUGGAGCUCCUCUCCAACGGCUUUCAACUAGCCAGAGGAUUGAGGUCUCAGGCAACAAUCGACUCUUGAUCUAUAGAAGGAGAUUUCUAUUAAGGGGUUUAGUUACUUGUUUAUAGGGUUUAUUUUGGGAAAAUCACAGUCUUACAUAAUUUUAAGGUUUACUCCCUCCUUUUCUUUGCCCCAUUCAUUGUACACCAAUCCCUCAAUACACUUCAUUUGUCUUUCAC